GUGUUUGGAAAAAAUCAAAAAGCGAAACUUGUUCGAUCCUGUUCAUUCGCGCCACGUUUUUCCGGGGAAAAAAACUUACUGUGGAAAUAACUGAUUCCUGGCCGUCAUAUACGGGCUCGACGGAACCGGCUUCUUUUAAGUCUCUUCCAGCCGUAUCUUCUCCAUCCACUCGCUUCACUCUGAAUCUUGUUCCGGCUGAGCUGGAUAUUUUGCUAAUGCUGAGACAGGCCACCAGAGCCGAAAUCUGUGCAACCUUCGUCGGGGUUCUCAUUCUGCGGACCACAUUCCCGGAGCUGUUGGCGGCACCGAACUCUGCCUUGGUCGACGCCGUUGGCUGGGACGCUUUGGCCGUGAUGGCCGAUUCAGCCUUGGCCGGACUGGCCUAGAGGUGCAGAAGCACGCGUGCACGAAUUUGUUCACUGCACACUACAGGUGGACAAUCACGGGGAGUUCCUCGAUUUGAACGUUGGCCGAUCUCGAUGCGCCCGCUGGCAGGUUGUGGCCACUGGAACCAGCCAGCUGCGGAAUGUGUGUGGGCCUAAGGCCUGACCUGGCCUGCUGUCUUUGAAAAGUUGCUGUUUGUCCUUCUGUUUUGCCCAACAAAACGCCGGUCGCGGCGUAAUUGCUCGUGCCGCCUCCGGAGAGUGACGCCGUCGUGUCUAAGAACCCGAUGGACGGCAAGCUGGCGGUGCUCUUACCAAACGCGCCUGACAGUGUCGGCGCCAGCAGUGACGCGGCUUACCCGUUCAAAAGCAUGGCCCAGGCGCGCAUGGUUCAGCGGCGGGAGAACACUCGAUGAUGUCACAAUCCCUUUGUCGUGCCUAACCCUCCGAUUGCGUUGGACCGCCAGCACCACCUCCUCCUCCGCCGGCUUACGGGUGAAGAGUGGACCACCUUUGCAGUCGUAACAUCUUCCAGCACGGAUCGCCGGCAUUCGAAUGCCUGCCAAGCUCCCUAACCUCGGUGCGACGACGACGAGCCUCUCCUGGACCAAGCGGCCACGCUCCAGUCGACGAAAUCAUCCGAUACGAUCGACGGCGGCCAAGACGAAGACGAUGGAAUCCCGCGUGUAUCAUCCCGGCGUCGAGUACGGUCGAAUCGUCCUAUGCGACUCUCCAAGUCGGCGGACAAGAUAAAAUAAAAUCCACCCGAUCGGAACGAAAACCGACAAGUCUGGACUCGGCUAUCCGGAUUACGCGGACGGCCAGCAGCAAGAAGCAGCAGAACGAAUUUCACAUCAUCUCACUCACUAAAGCCUAUGUAGUUUUGCGAAAACAAGAUUAUUAAAAAUGGGGAAUUUGGGGCUGUGACUCGUGUUUUAUUAAUAAUUCAAAAGGCGCUAAGUACACAUAGAAAACCUGUAAUGGUUUUGACUUAAGUACGAUAGAAUUAAUAAAAAUAAUCUCAA